AAACCCUACCCACCACGACACAGCACCCGACCUCCUCUUCCUCAUCCUCCCCAGCACCCAACUACUCUCCGCCUCGGCCUCCAUCUCCAUUCUCCUCCUUCUCUGCCUCCGUCUCCGUUCUCCUCCUUCUCCUCCUCCGACACACCUCUUCUCUCAUCUCUCUUCUCAAAUCCACCAAUGAUGCAGUCCAUGCCGGAGCUCCGCCUUGUUCUCUCGUCGAGCCCACCAUGGAAGAUAAGACCUAACAUUCAAGACAAGGCUCGCCGUCGAUUCAGGUUUGUUGAGUGGAUGGAUUGUUGCUGUUCCGGGACUGAAAUUACUCUCAAGAUGUUGGAUAUGAAGACCAUCUUCUUUUUCCUGUAGUUUCUGCAGUCCUUCCUGUAGGAAUACCUUGUUACAGCAUCCAAGAACCAGAUCUUGUAUGUCUUCUUCAGUUCCCCUAGACUCCAGGAGGACUAAUUGAGCUUCUUGUUGUUUUGAUGCCAAUACCAGGAGGACUUUGAGCUUCUUGUUGCCAAACAAAUACGGAGUCACUCCAUUUUCUCAAUUGAAAGGAUUAUUCAUUCAAGGUCCUAUUUUCAUCAGCUUCUUUCUUGCUAUUAGAAACAUGGCUGAGAAAGUUCCGUCUUUUCAAAAUGGUGGUGCUCUCUGGUUUACUGAUCUCACAACUCCAGAUAGCAUGUUGAUCCUUCCAAUUCUGACAGCAAGGACAUUCUGGAUCACAGUUGAGCGUUUCCUCCUCAGUGCAACAUGCAGGAAGGUCUGGAAGGAAAUCCUGUUGCGCAAACUAUGAAAACCUAUUCUAGAAUCCUAACUGCCAUUGCAAUUCCAGUUAUGAUGAGCUUCCUCAAGGCACUGUUCUGUUAUUGACUCACCUCCAACAUCUUAUCUCUUACAUAUGGAUUAGUGAUGAGAUGCUCAAAUGUGAUUUAUGUACUCUUGGAACUAUGGCAGUGAGAUCUUGCUUCACAUUGAUCAAGUGAUUAUUUAUUAAUUUAACUAGUUGGUCCACAGGUACGUACAUUCUCGAUUCUCAACAAAUACUUUUCCCAGCUGGGACCGUGCUCAGCCCAUGUGUGUCAUUGACCACAAUGGAGAAAUCAAUACCCUUAAGAGGAAAUGUUAACUGGAUGAAGGCACGUGAGGGACUGCUUAAGUGUGCUGAACUUGGUUUAUCAAAAAAUGAGUUAAAGAAGCUGUUACCAAUUGUGGAUGCCAGUUCAUCCUAUUCAGAGAGUAGAAGACAAGGGGAGGGAUUAUGGAAAAUACAUCAGAUCAGGGGAGCAUGUAUGGUCCGCGAGAGAGACUGGAUCUGCUGAGAGACAACGUGGAACAAUUGUGUUCCUUCACGGGGCUCCCACUCAGUCUUAUAGCUACAGAAAUGUUAUGUCUCAGGUCUGCUGUAUCUUGCUUUGUAUGUUAUUUAGUACCUGUACAUAUUCAUUUUGGUGAUUUUGGCUUACUGUAAAUGCUUAUGGCAAAGGGCUUAAGAAACACAUUAGUUCAUCUCAGAGCAGUCGUUUCAUCAUCCCAAGUUCAUGUAACUUGAAUCUUUAAUUUGGCUACACAGGUUUAUUUAUCACCUUAUACUUUGUUUUGGGGACAAUAUAAUGUGCAUUAAUUUUGUUUUUCAGAAGAUUUAUGUUUCCACUACAGAAAAAGAGUUCCACGACGAAUUUGACAGGUUACUAGAUGUUUAUGCAAGCGGCAUUUCUCUUUUUGCUGACAGCCAUGAUAUUAUAUGUUACCCAGAUCAAAAUGACAAGGAUUUGGAUGGGGCGAGUGAGAGGCAGGAUCUUGAAGGAAAGGAGCUAAAGCAAGAAACUGCUUUGCAUGAACUGGAGCUGGUUGCUGUCCAUGCUCUUCAUGAACUUGUUUCUUUAGUUCACAGUCAUGUCAAUGCUGCAGAGCAAUAUGAUUUUGAGUAAGGCUAGAUUUUGCUGACCAUUUUGUAGUAGAUGUAGUGAUAUCAGGAAGAAUUGUGAACAAAUUAUACUGCAUGUAGUUAUUGCAGUAGUGGUAUCUUUUAGACUAGCCUUAAAGUAGGUUAGGGUUUUUUGUGCAAAACUUUUGAAGCUACCUCAAGCUCUAAUUUUGGAUAGAAAUUAAUGCAAUUCCCUAAUAGUUGAAUUU